GAUGAACGCUGGCGGCGUGCCUAAUACAUGCAAGUCGAGCGAACGGACGAGAAGCUUGCUUCUCUGAUGUUAGCGGCGGACGGGUGAGUAACACGUGGAUAACCUACCUAUAAGACUGGGAUAACUUCGGGAAACCGGGGCUAAUACCGGAUAAUAUUUUGAACCGCAUGGUUCAAAAGUGAAAGACGGUCUUGCUGUCACUUAUAGAUGGAUCCGCGCUGCAUUAGCUAGUUGGUAAGGUAACGGCUUACCAAGGCAACGAUGCAUAGCCGACCUGAGAGGGUGAUCGGCCACACUGGAACUGAGACACGGUCCAGACUCCUACGGGAGGCAGCAGUAGGAAAUCUUCCGCAAUGGGCGAAAGCCUGACGGAGCAACGCCGCGUGAGUGAUGAAGGUCUUCGGAUCGUAAAACUCUGUUAUUAGGGAAGAACAUAUGUGUAAGUAACUGUGCACAUCUUGACGGUACCUAAUCAGAAAGCCACGGCUAACUACGUG
rnacentral:rRNA from 1 species